AUUGAACGCUAGCGGGAUGCUUUACACAUGCAAGUCGAACGAGUGGCGGACGGGUGAGUAAUAUAUCGGAACGUGCCCAGUAGCGGGGGAUAACUACUCGAAAGAGUGGCUAAUACCUCCUACUCUUGGAGCGGCCGCUAUCGGAUUAGCUAGUUGGGGGGGUAAAGGCUCACCAAGGCAACGAUCCGUAGCUGGUUUGAGAGGACGACCAGCCACACUGGGACUGAGAAACGGCCCAGACUCCUACGGGAGGCAGCAGUGGGGAAGUUUGGACAAUGGGGGAAACCCUGAUCCAGCCAUGCCGCGUGUAUGAGAAGGCCUUCGGGUUGUAAAGUACUUUCAGCAGAGAGGCGGUAUCUGCAGAAUAAGCACCGGCUAACUACGUGCCAGCCGCCGCGGUAAUUC
rnacentral:rRNA from 1 species